GACGAACGCUGGCGGCGUGCCUAAUACAUGCAAGUAGAACGCACAGUUUAUACCGUAGCUUGCUACACCAUAGACUGUGAGUUGCGAACGGGUGAGUAACGCGUAGGUAACCUGCCUGGUAGCGGGGGAUAACUAUUGGAAACGAUAGCUAAUACCGCAUAAUAUUGAUUAUUGCAUGAUAAUUGAUUGAAAGAUGCUAUUGCAUCACUACCAGAUGGACCUGCGUUGUAUUAGCUAGUAGGUGAGGUAACGGCUCACCUAGGCGACGAUACAUAGCCGACCUGAGAAGGGGGUCGACCACACUGGGACUGGGACACGGCCCAGACUCCUACGGGAGGCAGCAGUAGGGAAUCUUCGGCAAUGGACGAAAGUCUGACCGAGCAACGCCGCGGGAGUGAAGAAGGUUUUCGGAUCGUAAAGCUCUGUUGUAAGGGAAGAACGGGUGUGAGAGUGGAAAGUUCACACUGUGACGGUAUCUUACCAGAAAGGGACGGCUAACUACGUG
rnacentral:rRNA from 1 species